AACGAACGCUGGCGGCGUGGCUAAGGCAUGCAAGUCGAACGGAUGCACUCUGCGGGUAACCAAGGGGUGCGUUAGUGGCGAACGGGUGAGGGAUACAUGGAUAACGUACCCUGGGCUCGGGAAUAGCGGCGGAGCUUCGGUUCCUUUGCGAAAGUGCCGGUAAUACCCAAUGAUCCCGCAGAAUCGCAUGAUUUUGCGGGCAAAAGCUCCCGGUCUGGGAUCGGUUCAUGUCCUAUCAGCUUGUUGGUGGGGUAACGGCCCACCAAGGCUGUAACGGGUACCGGGCGUGAGAGCGUGGCCCGGCACAUCGGAACUGAGACACGGCCCGGACACCUACGGGUGGCUGCAGCAACGAAUAUUCCGCAAUGGACGAAAGUCUGACGGAGCGACGCCGCGUGCAGGAGGAAGUCCCUCGGGAUGUAAACUGCUGUCAGGGGUUAGGAAUUCAUGACCAGCCCCAAAGGAAGCACUGGCUAACUCCGUGCCAGCAGCCGCGGUAAUACGGAGAGUGCAAGCGUUGUUCGGAAUUACUGGGCUUAAAGCGCGUGUAGGCGGAGUAUCAGGUGCCGUGUGAAAGCCCCGGGCCCAACCCGGGAAGGGCACGGCAAACCGGUACUCUUGAGGCAGGCAGAGGUGACUGGAACGACCGGUGGAGCGGUGAAAUGCGUAGAUAUCGGUUGGAACGCCAGAGGCGAAAGCGGGUCACUGGGUCUGUCCUGACGCUGAGACGCGAAAGCGUGGGUAGCGAACAGGAUUAGAUACCCUGGUAGUCCACGCCGUAAACGAUGCGCACUAGGUAUGAGAGGUUCUGACGCCGAUCGUGCCGAAGCAAAAGUGAUAAGUGCGCCGCCUGGGGAGUACGGCCGCAAGGCUAAAACUCAAAGGAAUUGACGGGGGCUCACACAAGCGGUGGAGCAUGUGGAUUAAUUCGAAGCAACGCGCAGAACCCUACCUGGGUUUGACAUGCACGGAUGCUCUUCUGGAAACAGGAGCAGGCUGCCUUCGGGUGAAACGUGCACAGGUGCUGCAUGGCUGUCGUCAGCUCGUGCUGUGAAGUGUCGGGUUAAGUCCCUUAACGAGCGAAACCCCUAUCGUUAGUUGCCAGCGGGUUAUGCCGGGGACUCUAGCGAGACCGCCGGCGUCAAGCCGGAGGAAGGUGGGGACGACGUCAAGUCAUCAUGGCCUUUAUGCCCAGGGUGUCUCACGUGCUACAAUGGUCGGUACAGAGCGACGCGAUACUGUGAAGUGGAGCAAAUCGCAGAAAGCCGGCCUCAGUUCGGAUUGGAGUCUGCAACUCGACUCCAUGAAGUUGGAAUCGCUAGUAAUCGCGUAUCAGCCACGACGCGGUGAAUGUGUUCCUGAGCCUUGUACACACCGCCCGUCAAGUCAUGGAAGCCGGGAGUACCCGAAGUCCGUUUAGCUAACCGCAAGGGGGCGGCGGUCGACGGUAAGACUGGGACUGGUGACUGGGACU
rnacentral:rRNA from 1 species